GAUGAACGCUGGCGGCGUGCCUAAUACAUGCAAGUCGAGCGAACAGAUAAGGAGCUUGCUCCUUUGACGUUAGCGGCGGACGGGUGAGUAACACGUGGGUGACCUACCUAUAAGACUGGGAUAACUUCGGGAAACCGGAGCUAAUACCGGAUAACAUUUGGAACCGCAUGGUUCUAAAGUGAAAGAUGGUUUUGCUAUCACUUAUAGAUGGACCCGCGCCGUAUUAGCUAGUUGGUAAGGUAACGGCUUACCAAGGCAACGAUACGUAGCCGACCUGAGAGGGUGAUCGGCCACACUGGAACUGAGACACGGUCCAGACUCCUACGGGAGGCAGCAGUAGGGAAUCUUCCGCAAUGGGCGAAAGCCUGACGGAGCAACGCCGCGUGAGUGAUGAAGGGUUUCGGCUCGUAAAACUCUGUUAUUAGGGAAGAACAAAUGUGUAAGUAACUGUGCACGCCUUGACGGUACCUAAUCAGAAAGCCACGGCUAACUACGUG
rnacentral:rRNA from 1 species